rnacentral:sRNA from 1 species
UGGAGAGGAUGACUCUCCAAGGGCCGUAUCCGGCGCGAGCGCCCAUCCACCCCAGCGCCCAAUAUGGCUUGACCCGCCCGGUUGUCCCCCCGGGCGGGUC